rnacentral:rRNA from 1 species
UACGGAGGGUGCAAACGUUGCUCGGAAUCAUUGGGCGUAAAGCGCACGUAGGCGGCUAGAUAAGUCGGGUGUGAAAGCCCUGGGCUCAACCCAGGAAGUGCAUUCGAAACUGCAGAGCUGGAGUCCUGGAGAGGAAGGCGGAAUUCUCGGUGUAGAGGUGAAAUUCGUAGAUAUCGAGAGGAACACCGGUGGCGAAGGCGGCCUUCUGGACAGUGACUGACGCUGAGACGGCGAAAAGCGUGGGGAGCAAACAGG